AUUGGGUGUAGAGUUUUCUUUCAGCUUUUGGAAAUCAGUAAAAUAUGAUUUUUAUUUUACGUUCCUUUCUCAUUCACUUCUUUCUUAGGAAUAAUUGAAUAAUCAUGCUUGAAGUGGGUUCUAUGUGUAUUGUAUGAUAUACUCAUUCCUUGCAGUGUAUUCCAGUAUUCAGAUGCAGGACUGCAUUCCAUUUCUCUCCGUCUUGCCUGGCUAUAUAAGAUUUCAUCUUCAUUAAAGAGUGGUCCAUGACUCAUUUCUCUGUUUAUGCUUCGCAAGCUGGUUACCCAGACAUAAAGAAUUUAAAGGUCUUGGUGGCCUCUGACAAGGAAAGGCCCAAAAGAAAUGAGGCUGUCUCUUCGGUAGUCUGCCCAUAUAAGAGAUGUACCUAAACAACUGCUUGACCAGCGAAAUUUGGUCAUACCACAGUUGUUAACGUUGCUUCUGGUAAACAAUAAUAAUAAAAAUGCAGAGCUGAAUAGUAUUGUUAUUAGUUUGUGUCAGAGAGUACUAGGUCCGCAACAUAUCUAGUUCCUAGGUUUUCUUGGUUGGUUGAUGUCGUGUUAAGUUCCCGGUGACCUGGAGCAAUGUUUCAUCCGGCUGAAUUAUUAUUAAAAUGACAGGUUAGAUCUGGGAAGUCAUUAUGAAAAACUGCUGGGCCUGAAUCAAAAGUCGAAGAUUGAAUCAUAGUUCUGCAACUUGGGUUGACAAAAUCCUGCAAAUUUGCUGAAAUUUCUCAAACUACAGGCUGUCUGUGGUAGAAAAAGGCUACAGAGGAGAAAAGGGAUCACAUGGUGAAGCUUUUUGUGUGAAAGACGGGGGGAGAGAGGAUAGGUAGGGCCCUUUUAAUUAAGGGGAAGAAGCAGUUUGGACCGUAAUGUGAGCUUUUCUGAAAUCAGGGGGACCAUAUCAGCAUGUCCUUGCUCCAAUCUCCUCCCUUAAAAAUAAGGAAAGUCCACAAAAUCCAAAUCUCAGUUCAACCCACAGACAAUCAUCCCACAUGGACUUUCUGUCCUUUCUUGCGCAAUCAACGCAACCCAAUCUCCCCUUCCCUCCCUGCAUUCUCUUCACUCUCCCAUUUUGAAUCUCUUCUUUCCUUAUCAUAUGCUCAACCCUCCAUUCCAAACACUCACAAGCAUAACCGUUAUAUUAUCACCCUCACAUCUCAUUGUUAUAACAAACUCAUUUUUUUUUUAAAUCAGAGUAUUCCAAAUCACUUUAAAUUUAAGACUAAUUACUGUCAGAUUAAGAGUGUUUA